CCCAUGAUGUUCUCUGAAGGGGCCAGUGGAGAAGAUUGAGCUAUCUGCCGUGAAUGACAGUGGUGGAUUGAAGUGCUCCAAGUGAGACAUAGUUAUAAGACAGAUCCACUACUAAAUUACAACUGAUGAUAAGUAGCAAAGAAAGAAGAGAUUUACCUCCAUGGCAAAGCAUUUUUGUAACAAUAACUUCAGCAAAAUUUGAAAAUGAACACAGGAUGGAGACAGGAGGACCAAACAGACACAUUCUAAACAGAGAGUUCCUGGUACAAAGAGAGAUCUAGAAAUUUGUCAAGAUUACAGAGCAAGAGAUAGAGAAAUUGUGUGAGGACUUUUAAAUAGCAGUGUUUGUACUCUUGAAACCUGGCCUCAUGGCUCCCAGCCUCACAGCUCCAUCUCCCCAGUCAAAGGAAACACUCCUGCCUCUGUGGGUUCCCCUCCACAAUGUGGUCUUGACAUAAACCUCACAUCUUACUAAGCAUUAGCUCAAAUAAACAAAGAUCUGAUUUUUUAAACUGUUAAAAUUGUUUAACAAUUGUUAAUUGCUUCUUACAUAAAACAUCUGUAAGA